rnacentral:rRNA from 1 species
AGAGAGAGACAUGCGCGCAUAUCAAUAAGCGGAGGAAAAGAAACUAACAAGGAUUCCCUUAGUAACGGCGAGUGAAGCGGGAAGAGCUCAAAUUUGAAAUCUUCAAGGUUUUACCUUGACGAAUUGUAGUUUAAAGAAGUGUUUUCUGCUGAAGUUUUGGUAAAAGUUCUUUGGAAUAGGACAUCAUAGAGGGUGAGAAUCCCGUAUUUGACCAUUAUUUUCAGCUUUGUGAUACACUUUCAAAGAGUCGGAUUGUUUGGGAAUGCAGUCCAAAAUGGGUGGUAAAUUUCAUCUAAAGCUAAAUAUUGGCGAGAGACCGAUAGCGAACAAGUACCGUGAGGGAAAGAUGAAAAGAACUUUGAAAAGAGAGUUAAACAGUACGUGAAAUUGUCAAAAGGGAAGCGCUUUGACACCAGUGUUGUUUUCUCGAAAAUCAAUUAAAAAUGGCUCGAUUUUGUAUUGUUGAGACCUUAAAAGCUCACUGUACAUUUUUCGUGUCUUUUUUAAUGCACUUUUCGUUUAACAAGUCAACAUCAGUUUCUUUUGUUGUAAAAGGGUCAUUGGAAGGUGGCUUUCUUUUCGGAGAAAGUGUUUAUAGCCUUUGGCCUCUGCAAUCGGAGAGACUGAGGUCUGCAGCGUAGACUCUUCGGGGUUAGAUACAUUUGUGCUAAGUUAUAGCUUUUUAUAGACAACUUGUUGACUAUAAUUAGUCUUGUAGCUUACUCGCUUAUGCUAUUUUACCUACGCUUAGGAUGUUGAAGAUGUAGCACAUCAU